AUUUGUCAAUUUGUCAAUUUUUCAGAAGUCAGUAAUUUCAAUUGAAGAACUGUGAGUGUGCUGUCUUUUAGGGGUUUUUUUUGUUUGUUUUUUUAAUUUUGCCAAUAGUUUUAGAGAAAAAUUGAGGCGGGAAACGAGGAGGAAAGUUUUCAUAAUGUGCUGAAAUCUCAACUAAGGACGUUUGAAGCAGGCCACCUUAAGGCAAUGCCCUACAUGACCACAUGAGGGCGACAUACUCCUCAAAGCACCUUGUGUCAGACUGCCAAAGUGAAUCCCAUAGAAGAUUUUCAAGUACCUCAUGCAUCCCUCGCCCCAGGUUUGGAGGUCCGACUGAUCAUGCCCCAGGCCCUGAUGUGCACCGUAGAUCAAAAUAGACGGAUAAAGGAAACAACCAUCACUUAUCUUCCAGACAACCUUCUAACAACGUGAUUGAAUACACACAUCUUUUUAUUUAAUUCUGUUAUGUUGUAUAGUGUUAUGCAGUGUCAUAUCUCAUACUGUGCUUUCUGCUGAUCCAACCCAUAUGUUUCAUAUGUGUUUGCAGACCUGGAGAAGUAAUAUUGAAAAUUAUCAACUAAUAUUUGAAUUCUAACUUUACACUUUGCCUUGUGCACAGACAAGGAAAUGUCAGUGACAUUUGUUUUAAAGGAAACUGCUUCAGUCAUAUUGCCCAGAGCCAUGCAGUCAUGUUGUAAAUAAAGACAACAUCUUCACCUGGUGGUGAAUUCGCUAAUCAGUAGUGAGGUGAGAUGGCAACUGU